GACGAACGCUGGCGGCGUGCCUAACACAUGCAAGUCGAACGGGGUGAUAUCCUUCGGGAGAUCACUUAGUGGCGAACGGGUGAGUAACGCGUGAGAAACCUGCCUUUCAGUGGGGGACAACAGUUGGAAACGACUGCUAAUACCGCAUAAUGUAUUUAGGGCAUCCCUGAAAUACCAAAGCUUUAUGUGCUGAAAGAUGGUCUCGCGUCUGAUUAGCUAGAUGGCGGGUAACGGCCCACCAUGGCGACGAUCAGUAGCCGGUCUGAGAGGAUGAACGGCCACAUUGGGACUGAGAUACGGCCCAG
rnacentral:rRNA from 1 species